rnacentral:rRNA from 1 species
UACGUAGGGGGCAAGCGUUGUCCGGAAUCAUUGGGCGUAAAGAGCGUGUAGGCGGCCCGGUAAGUCCGCUGUGAAAGUCCAGGGCUCAACCCUGGAAUGCCGGUGGAAACUGUCGGGCUAGAGUCCGGAAGAGGCGAGUGGAAUUCCUGGUGUAGCGGUGAAAUGCGUAGAGAUCAGGAGGAACACCCGUGGCGAAGGCGGCGCCCUGGUCCGUUACUGACGCUGAGACGCGAAAGCGCGGGGAGCGAACGGG